GACGAACGCUGGCGGCGUGCUUAACACAUGCAAGUCGAACGAUGAAGCCGGAGCUUGCUCUGGUGAAUUAGUGGCGAACGGGUGAGUAACACGUGAGUAACCUGCCCUUGACUCUGGGAUAACUGCGGGAAACUGUAGCUAAUACCGGAUACGACCCUCGGAGGCAUCUCCUGGGGGUGGAAAGAAUUUCGGUAAAGGAUGGACUCGCGGCCUAUCAGCUAGUUGGUGCGGUAAAGGCUCACCAAGGCGACGACGGGUAGCCGGCCUGAGAGGGUGACCGGCCACACUGGGACUGAGACACGGCCCAGACUCCUACGGGAGGCAGCAGUGGGGAAUAUUGCUCAAUGGGCGCAAGCCUGAUGCAGCAGCGCCGCGUGAGGGAUGACGGCCUUCGGGUUGUAAACCUCUUUUAGCAGGGAAGAAGCGAAAGUGACGGUACCUGCAGAAAAAGCACCGGCUAACUACGUGCCAGCCGCCGCGGUAA
rnacentral:rRNA from 1 species